CACGUAGGGCGCGAGCGUUGUCCGGAAUUAUUGGGCGUAAAGAGCUCGUAGGCGGCCUGUUGCGUCCGCUGUGAAAGCCCCGGGGGCUUAACCCCGGGUCGGCAGUGGAUACGGGCAGGCUAGAGGUAGGUAGGGGAGAAUGGAAUUCCCGGUGUAGCGGUGAAAUGCGCAGAUAUCGGGAGGAACACCGGUGGCGAAGGCGGUUCUCUGGGCCUUACCUGACGCUGAGGAGCGAAAGCGUGGGGAGCGAACAGG
rnacentral:rRNA from 1 species